ACACGACUACAUUAGAUACCCGCGUAGUCCCAGCCGUAAACUAUGCGCGUUAGGUGUAUCGGUGACCACGAGUCACCGAGGUGCCGAAGGGAAACCGUGAAACGUGCCGCCUGGGAAGUACGGUCGCAAGGCUGAAACUUAAAGGAAUUGCGGGGAGCACCACAACGGGUGGAGCCUGCGGUUUAAUUGGACUCAACGCCGGGAAGCUCACCGGAUAAGACAGCGGAAUGAUUGCCGGGCUGAAGACUCUGCACGACUAGCUG
rnacentral:rRNA from 1 species